rnacentral:misc_RNA from 1 species
GCAAACUUGGUCAUUUAGAGGAAGUAAAAGUCGUAACAAGGUCUCCGUAGGUGAACCUGCGGAGGGAUCAUUAAUGAAUGGCCAUCUAUGGCCUUCAACCCUUCAAAACUGUGGAGGCAGAGUGUGCUUCGGUGCUUCGGCGCCGUCUUUAUGCUGCAAAGUCUGUGUCUGAACGUAAAAAUAAAGUCAAAAACUUUCAACAAAGGAUCUCUUGGCUCUCUAGAGGAAGUAAAAGUCGUAACAAGGUCUCCGUAGGUGAACCUGCGGAGGGAUCAUUAAUGAAUGGCCAUCUAUGGCCUUCAACCCUUCAAAACUGUGGAGGCAGAGUGUGCUUCGGUGCUUCGGCGCCGUCUUUAUGCUGCAAAGUCUGUGUCUGAACGUAAAAAUAAAGUCAAAAACUUUCAACAAAGGAUCUCUUGGCUCUCGCAUCGAUGAAGAACGCAGC